AUUUCCUACGGGAGGAGCAGUGAGGAAUAUUGGUCAAUGGUCGGGAGACUGAACCAGCCAAGCCGCGUGAGGGAUGAAGGUACAGAGUAUCGUAAACCUCUUUUGUCAGGGAACAAAGGCGGGGACGCGUCCCCGGAUGAGUGUACCUGAAGAAAAAGCAUCGGCUAACUCCGUGCCAGCAGCCGCGGUAAUACGGAGGAUGCGGGCGUUAUCCGGAUUUAUUGGGUUUAAAGGGUGCGCAGGCGGUCUGUUAAGUCUGCGGCCAAAUCCCGGGGCUCAACCCCGGC
rnacentral:rRNA from 1 species